rnacentral:lncRNA from 1 species
CCUGCAAAAAAAUAAACAAGUCGGAAAACAAGAGACCAAGAGAUUACGAGUACUUGAAGCGCAGCAAGUGAUGAGAACUUACUUCAUUUGGCUUGUUCGACUUGUUGAACUCCUCGACCGCUACGGGUGUAUCGUCAAGCUCUCUGAACAUUCGGCUCAGACGAACCCCCACCUCUUCAUCUGAAAUAUCUUCGGAUGACAUCCGUGAAGGAUCGUCGAGUCCAGAGUACUCAUACCCGGGAGUUUUCCAAAGCUGCAAUGGCUGCACACGUCUUUUCAGAAAACUGCGAGCAACGGC